rnacentral:rRNA from 1 species
GAUGAACGCUGGCGGCGUGCCUAAUACAUGCAAGUCGAGCGAACGGACGAGAAGCUUGCUUUUCUGAUGUUAGCGGCGGACGGGUGAGUAACACGUGGAUAACCUACCUAUAAGACUGGGAUAACUUCGGGAAGCCGGAGCUAAUACCGGAUAAUAUUUUGAACCGCAUGGUUCAAAAGUGAAAGACGGUCUUGCUGUCACUUAUAGAUGGAUCCGCGCUGCAUUAGCUAGUUGGUAAGGUAACGGCUUACCAAGGCAACGAUGCAUAGCCGACCUGAGAGGGUGAGCGGCCACACUGGAACUGAGACACGGUCCAGACUCCUACGGGAGGCAGCAGUAGGGAAUCUUCCGCAAUGGGCGAAAGCCUGACGGAGCAACGCCGCGGGAGUGAUGAAGGUCUUCGGAUCGUAAAACUCUGUUAUUAGGGAAGAACAUAUGUGUAAGUAACUGUGCACAUCUUGACGGUACCUAAUCAGAAAGCCACGGCUAACUACGUG